UACGUAGGGGGCUAGCGUUGUCCGGAAUCAUUGGGCGUAAAGCGCGUGUAGGCGGCCCGGUAAGUCCGCUGUGAAAGUCGAGGGCUCAACCCUCGAAAGCCGGUGGAUACUGUCGGGCUCGAGUGCGGGAGAGGCGAGUGGAAUUCCUGGUGUAGCGGUGAAAUGCGCAGAUAUCAGGAAGAACACCGACGGCGAAGGCAGCUCGCUGGGACGGUACUGACGCUGAGGCACGAAGGUCAGGGGAGCAAACGGG
rnacentral:rRNA from 1 species